UGCAAGUCGAGCGGACAGAUGGGAGCUUGCUCCCUGAUGUUAGCGGCGGACGGGUGAGUAACACGUGGGUAACCUGCCUGUAAGACUGGGAUAACUCCGGGAAACCGGGGCUAAUACCGGAUGGUUGUUUGAACCGCAUGGUUCAAACAUAAAAGGUGGCUUCGGCUACCACUUACAGAUGGACCCGCGGCGCAUUAGCUAGUUGGUGAGGUAACGGCUCACCAAGGCAACGAUGCGUAGCCGACCUGAGAGGGUGAUCGGCCACACUGGGACUGAGACACGGCCCAGACUCCUACGGGAGGCAGCAGUAGGGAAUCUUCCGCAAUGGACGAAAGUCUGACGGAGCAACGCCGCGUGAGUGAUGAAGGUUUUCGGAUCGUAAAGCUCUGUUGUUAGGGAAGAACAAGUACCGUUCGAAUAGGGCGGUACCUUGACGGUACCUAACCAGAAAGCCACGGCUAACUACGUGCCAGCAGCCGCGGUAAUACGUAGGUGGCAAGCGUUGUCCGGAAUUAUUGGGCGUAAAGGGCUCGCAGGCGGUUUCUUAAGUCUGAUGUGAAAGCCCCCGGCUCAACCGGGGAGGGUCAUUGGAAACUGGGGAACUUGAGUGCAGAAGAGGAGAGUGGAAUUCCACGUGUAGCGGUGAAAUGCGUAGAGAUGUGGAGGAACACCAGUGGCGAAGGCGACUCUCUGGUCUGUAACUGACGCUGAGGAGCGAAAGCGUGGGGAGCGAACAGGAUUAGAUACCCUGGUAGUCCACGCCGUAAACGAUGAGUGCUAAGUGUUAAGGGGUUUCCGCCCCUUAGUGCUGCAGCUAACGCAUUAAGCACUCCGCCUGGGGGAGUACGGUCGCAAGACUGAACUCAAGGAAUUGACGGGGGGCCCGCACAAGCGGUGGAGCAUGGUGGUUUAUUCGAGCACGCGAGACCUUACCAGUCUUGACAUCUCUGACAUCUAGAGAUAGACGUCCCUUCGGGGC
rnacentral:rRNA from 1 species